rnacentral:rRNA from 1 species
CCCUUAGAUGCUCUGGGCCGCACGCGCGCUACACUGGUCGAUGCAACGAGCUUCUUUCCUUGGCCGACAGGCCUGGGCAAUCUUUGAACAUCGAUCGUGAUCGGGAUAGAUUCUUGUAAUUUUUGAUCUUAAACGAGGAAUUCCUAGUAAACGCAAGUCAUCAGCUUGCAUUGAUUACGUCCCUGCCCUUUGUACACACCGCCCGUCGCACCUACCGAUUGAAUGGUCCGGUGAAAUCUCCGGACUGGCGUGAGUCGGAGCAAUCUGACAAACGCCGGAAAGUUGAUUAAACCUUACCAUUUAGAGGAAGGUGAAGUCGUAACA